rnacentral:rRNA from 1 species
UCGGGAAUUUUGGGCAAUGGGCGAAAGCCUGACCCAGCAACGCCGCGUGAAGGAUGAAGUAUUUCGGUAUGUAAACUUCGUAAGAAUAGGAAGAAUAAAUGACGGUACUAUUUAUAAGGUCCGGCUAACUACGUGCCAGCAGCCGCGGUAAUACGUAGGGACCAAGCGUUGUUCGGAUUUACUGGGCGUAAAGGGCGCGUAGGCGGCAAUUCAAGUCAUCUGUGAAAUCUCCGGGCUUAACUCGGAACGGUCAGAUGAUACUGCUUUGCUAGAGUGCAGAAGGGGCAAUCGGAAUUCUUGGUGUAGCGGUGAAAUGCGUAGAUAUCAAGAGGAACACCUGAGGUGAAGACGGGUUGCUGGGCUGACACUGACGCUGAGGCGCGAAAGCCAGGGGAGCAAACGGGAUUAGAUACCCACGUAGUCCCUGAGCGGGCUGGCAAGGCGCAU